GCCCUCGUUGUCUAAUGGCUAUGACGUCAGACUUCUACAGCGAUCUGGAGGUUCCCGGUUCGAACCCGGGCGGGGGCU
rnacentral:tRNA from 1 species